UACAGAGGUCUCAAGCGUUGUUCGGAUUCAUUGGGCGUAAAGGGUGUGUAGGUGGCGCGCUAAGUCGGGUGUGAAAUCUCGGAGCUUAACUCCGAAACUGCAUUCGAUACUGCCGUGCUUGAGGACUGGAGAGGAGACUGGAAUUUACGGUGUAGCGGUGAAAUGCGUAGAUAUCGUAAGGAAGACCAGUGGCGAAGGCGGGUCUCUGGACAGUUCCUGACACUGAGGCACGAAGGCCAGGGGAGCAAACGGG
rnacentral:rRNA from 1 species